CUUGGUAGCUCCAUAUUGAAUCCAAAACCGAGCCAUGGCUCUCUCGUAAGGAUCAGUCGGUAGCAGUGGAUUCUCCGGCCAUGUUUCCUCAAUGUAUUCAAGGAUAACAAGAGACUCCGCAAUCGGCUUGCCACCAUGGACGAGUACAGGGAUUUGCUUGUAAACUGGGUUAUACUUCAAUAGCAGUUCACUUUUAUUGGUGAGGUCUUCUUCAAUAUACUCAAACUCCACGCCCUUUAGUUUCAGAGCCCAUAUAACUCUGUAACUAAAAGGGCUAGCCCAGAAACCAUGCAGCUUCACAUCUGCCAUCGUUCCAAUGAGAUCAGAGUGCAAGGUCUCCUGCUGUGACGAGUCCUCUUAUAGCGACUUUUGGCUUGGGCAACAAGUACUGGAUGCAAGAAACAUUUUUUUAUAUUGCAAGUAUUGACUUGACUUGGUCCAUAACUUUGAUUCUGAUUUUUUUUAGAUCUGUUUGUUUGCAGGAAUUUUUUUUGAAAAAUAAAUUUUGAAAAAAGUGAAUUCUAGAAAAGUAAAUUUCGAGAAAGUAUUUUUCGAUGUUUGGUAGUGUAAUGAAAAACGAACUGGAAAACACUUUUCAGUUUUUUGUUAUGUUAUGGAAAAUAAAUUGGAAAAUAAUUUAUUAAUGAAUUAAAUUUUUUUUUUAAAGUUAUCUAAUAUAUGAAAAAUAUUAAAUAUAAAUAUUUAAUCUAUUAAUUUUAUAAAAUAUAACUAUAUAUGUCAUAUAAUAUUAUAGAGAUAUAACCUUGUGAAAUUUUUCAUAAAUAAAACCUAUUAAUUAUUUUUUUUCAAUUUUAAAAGCUUAAAAUAUGUUUUUUUUUCAUAUGAAUAAAGCCAAAUUAGUUUAUAAUGGUUAUGGAAAUGAUAUCUGAUUCCCUAAACAAAUAAGGUCUUAAAAUAUAUUAUUUAAGAUCAUAAAAUUCAAUUUCUCGAUGAUAAAACCGUUUUGAAAAUUAUACAAUUCAUAAGUUCACAAUAAUCAAUAGACAUUGCACAAUGAAAUCCAUAUAAUUACCGGUAUAGACCCACAAAUUUAUUCAUAUGUAACAAAUAUAAUCAAACACUAAUCAUAUAUUAAUCAAAGCAAAUUAAAACACAUAUUUAUGUUUAUUCUUCUGUUAUAAUUCCUCUUAUUAAUGUAACAUGUAUUUAAACAUCCCCACUUCCCUUGUUUUGCAGGUUAAAACUCUCAUCAUCUCUUGCAUUUCCCUUACAAACACGCAACCUUCCCCAUGUUUUGCAGGUGCUCAUGAGACUAAAUUCAAUGGCUACCUUCAACGGCUUAAUCUACAAAGCCUAGUAAUCAGCCAUGAAAAGACCCAUAAUCCUUCAAAGCUUCCUUCCUUUGACUUCACAAGUAUAAAAUUAAACUUAUAAUUCCAUUCCCCUCUCCCAUUCCCCCCCUCUCUUGAUCGAUUCCCCUCUCCCAUUCCCCUGUUCCCUCUCCCCCUCCCUCUCGGUCGAUUCCCCGUGUUCCCUCUCCCUCUCAGUCGAUUCCCUUCUCGGUUUCUCUCAUUCCCCUUCCCUUAUUCCCUCUCCCAGGGGCAACAGGGCUCCUAUUUCCCAGUUCUCCUCCCUCCCUCCCCCGGCUACUGUUAAAAAAAAGACAGAGAGCAAGGGUUGAUUUUCAACACUUCCACUCGGGAUAUGGUGGCUGGAUCCGGGGAUGGGGUAACAGGGAGGGGAUUCUUUUUGCUAUGGAAGAUUGAUUAACACAGUUCGGGGAUUUUCAAGUGCCUCUCUUCGUGCACUUGAUUUGGUUUGUCUGGUUAGAAUAAAACUGCUGAAUGUGAGUGAUGAAGAAGAAAACUGUCAUGGAAAAAUUGUGUUUUUUGUGGCUUGCUUGAUGAAUUUUAGUUGUGUUAUGGAAAACAUAUGAUAGGUAGCAGAUGCUUCUACAAUAGUUCCUGCUUCCAAUCGUUUUUGAAGAGAGAGAGACCGUGAUUUACGAAAAUGAGUGUAAUGAAAAAAAAAAAGUGUUUUCCUUUCUUUAUCAGAAGGAAAAUACUUUCCUUUGAUAAAACAACUUUUUUAUGUUGAUGGGAUUAAGAUUUUAUUGAUUAUUUUUUCAUAUUGUUACCAAACAUGAAAAAAUAAGGAAAAUAAAUUUUAGGAAUUCGUUUUCCUUGAAACAAACAAGGACUUAAUUUAACUUAUACAUCGUAAUUUGCAAGUAAUUCAUACGAUGAACUUGUUUUUUUUUUUUUGUCACGGUGUGCAGUUUAUUUUCCUUACAAGUUGCAAGAAACACUGACUAGUCUGUAGAAAGUUACAUUCUUUGAACGUGUUCAUGCCUAGCCUUCGGAUUAGGUGGUGGAUAUGGACACACGUAGUCAUGAACCUGUCUGGCUUUCGAACUUCGAAGAAAUCUCAGUGCCCAUCUCCAAGACCUGACAUGCCUAUCACUAGGGGUGUGCAAAAAAACUGGAAAACCGAAUAAACCGAGAAAACAAAAAAAAAUUAACUGAAAAAACCGAACCGAAAAAAAAAACACUGAUUAAACCGAUUAUAAUAGUUAGAAAAAAUCCCGGUUCAAUUCGGUUUUCAGUUUUGUAAUGCAGGAACCGGUUAACCCGGACCGAACCGAACCAGUUCAAAUAAAAAAAAUGGUACUAUAAAUACCUUCCAAACCCAUCUACAGUUCUACAUUUCAGUCUCUUCUUCUAAGUUUCUAACCUAGCCCCCCCUCACUCCCUCUUGAUUAAAUCUUCAUCUACUCUAUUCUCUCCCACCUUCAGUCUCUUCUUCUAACCUAGCAAACCUAGCUGCCGCCCCCCCCUCACUCCCUCUUGAUCAAAUCUUCAUCUCUAUUCUCUCUCAUCUAAAUAUAUGCUUUGUAGCUUCUUGUUCUAACCCUAGCAAAUCUAGCCGCCGCCCCUCCCUCUUGUUCAAUCUCUCGAUCAGAUCUUAAUCUCUCCCAUAUAAAGAUCUACUUUUUAGUUUCCUCUUCCAACCCUAGCAAACCCAGUCGCCGCCCCCUCCCUCUUAUUCAAUCUCUCAAUCAAAUCUUCAUCUCUCAAUUAUCUGUCUCUAAAUCAAAAUUAGCAGUCGUUCCUUCAAGUUCUUUGUCUCUCCAAGUUGGAUGACAAAUUUGAUGCUUUCUAUUUUCUUUUCUAAAUUGUUUUUUUUUUUAGUUUUUAUCAGUUUAUAUUAACCUAUUUUGUUAAACUUUUCAGGUGAACUAUUCAAGAGAACCAGAUGCACUUUUAAUGUCCAUGUCGUGAGAAAGAUAGUUGAUGCAUUUUAUUUCAAUUUCAAGGACUCCUGCAGAUUGUAUUUCUUUAAUUUUAUUAGAGGCAUUGUUUUCUUGGUUUGUGUUAUUUUAUGUAUAAUUUUAUUUUGGAUUUUGAUUAGAGUUGAUUGGUUUGAGAAAACUACUGGGUGCAAAUUAAAAAUAUUUCGCCUAUUAUUUGAGAUAAAUCUUGGUAAAGGAAAGUAAAACAAUGAAUAUAGGUUUUUUAUAUUUGAUUAUAAAUUUACAAGCCUUUUAAAUGACCCCAUCAAAAGUCAUAAAAAGCCAAAAAAAAUUGAACUGGUUUUUCCGGUUUUUCUCUUUAAUUAACCGAACCAAACCGAAUCGAAAUUGAUCGGUUUGAACCGGUUUCGUUUUUUUAAAAAAAAAAAUAAAAUUGAUUUAGUUAUUUUUUUAAAUAAAAACCGGACUGAACCGGAAAUGCUCACCUCUACCUACCACUAUCACGAUGUUAUUGAAUGAAGAAAAGCAUAAAUAAACUAUGCCUGAUUUGACAAACUUUUUUUUUUUUAAUCCCUGCCAAACCAUCCAUCGACUAUCUGAAUUCAAAAGUAUCAGCUUUUUUAAUAUUGAUGGUUGUAAUUUCACUUGUAAAAUUUUGGAUUUUUUUUUAAAAAUUUAUUACUUCGAGUGUUAUAAAUUUUGAAAUAACUAGAAAUUUACCAUACUGAUAACUGAACUGUGACUCGUGUUCAGCAAAGGAGGGCUUUAUAUUAUUCAUUGCCGACUUUUCUUUUCCUUUUCUCUUUUUAUUGCAGACUUUUCUUCUUGGCUGUCCAGAUAAAUGGAAAAUUAGAAGAGGAGCAGUCAAAGUUAGGCUGCAUGAUUUGACGAAGGUUUUUUUCUGCCCCCUCUUAUCCAUGGCCGCCUCUGUUCAAGCUGAGAUUGCCCUUGGAAAUCCUAACUAAGAUGCACAAAUUGAAAAACUCAAUUCCAUGGCGAGUCUCCAGUUUGCUUAACUGCUUAGCUUGCUUUCAUACAGAUCACAGAGAAUUUACUCCUGGCUCUACGCACUGGUCUUUCCAACAGACAAGGAGAAAUCGAAAAACAAAUAACAAUGAUCGCAAGUUUUAUGGAUAUCACCAAAAUGAUCUAACAUCACUGGAUAUUCUAAGCUUGCAGCCUGAUUAAAAUUUAUUGACUCCACAACACGAAAGGUCUUGCUUAGAUAACCCUGGUGAGGAGAAAAAUCCAUCCAGCGUUCUCUUGGUCCAUUCAUGGAAAACACAGAGAUCUAGACUUCCAGAGAUCAUGGCCUUCAUCGACGAGUCUAGGAGAAACAUCUGCCUUGAACGUUCUAGAUGUUUAUAACUCAAAACCCUUCGAAUAAAAAACUUUUGUUAUAAAGAAGAGAUUCAAACACAAAAUAUCUUGCAGAAACCCUUUGAAUAAAAACUUUUCUUAUGAAGAUGUUCGAGCACAAAAUAUCUUGCAGAAGAGGUAAACAACAAAAGAGUUUCAAUCCUCAUGUCCACUAUAAUUAGUAUAUUUUGUAAAUUGAAAUUUUAGCUUUAGUACCUUUCUCAAAAACGAGACUACUUCUUCCUUUAUCAUGAUCUAGCCAUUAUGAGAUUGACUUUCUCAAAAGGCGUGGCAAAGAAGAUUAGCAUCGAUACCGUCAUGCAUGGCGUAUAUCAAAACGGCAACUUCCAGGAGAUGAUAUGUAUGGUCAACAUUAUUAACAUUAAUAAUGCUUAUUUAACCCAGAAAAUCAUGAAGUAAAUCGCAACCUGUGAGAAAUUGCUGAGAAACUUGUAUAGAAAAAGAAAGAACAUGCAUCGCGUUAAUUAUUGCAUUUCUUAUCUCCAUAGUCAAGUCUUCUUUCGACAGAGAAUUGAAGUGAAUAUGAUUAUGUAAGCAAAUAUAUCAAUAAUGGAGGAAGUAAAGCUUCUUUUCGAGGUAUAUCCCUUUCAUUAACUAAAUUCUUCUGAAUUUGCUGACCCAUCACACAAAAACACAGGCAAAAGAAUUUUGAUGGUCGGAAGUCUGUUUAUGUUGUAUUAAAAUAUUUUUUUUUAAAAAAUCUAUAUUUAACUUUGGAUCAUCAAAAUAAUAUAAAAAUAUAAAAAAUUAAUUUUUUUAAAAGUACCGUUUGAAAUGCAUUCGCGGCUGCCCUCAAUAGCAAAUGUGUACUGCCCACAGCCCAAGCAAGACUCUUUCAUUAAAAAUCAGCACUAUAAAUGACUAUGGCAGGUAAAGAACAAUCACCAUACAAAUCCCUUGGUCAUGGCGGAGGUAGUGAAGCUGCUCGGAGCAUUGUCCAGCCCAUUUGUUUUCCGAGUGAUAUGGGCUCUCAAAAUGAAGGGCAUUCCAUAUGAGUACAUAGAAGAAGAUGUUACCAUCAAAAGUCCUCUGCUUCUGAAGAAGAACCCUGUUCUUAAGAAGAUCCCAGUGCUUCUCCAUGGCGAAAAACCAGUUUGCGAGUCCAUGAUUAUUGUCGAAUACAUCGAUGAGAUAUGGCCCCAAAAUCCCUUGUUGCCCAAUGACCCUUACGAGAGAGCUCCGGCUCGUUUCUGGGUCAAAUUUACCGACGAUAAGGUAAAAAGAGUACAGGCAUCAUUUUACAUUACAUAAAAUAUUACUAUGAAACCGAGUUCUGGGCUUUAAAGAAAAAUUGGUUUCUGCUGAUUUGGUUAGUUCAUGAUCAAUGAUGAAUCAUUAUGUUGACUCGAGCUGUUCUAAUAAAAUUGAUUAAGGGAAAAAAAGUAAAUGGAAAGGAAUAUAAAAGAAAUACAACAGUGUUUAUACACCAUUCCGGAAUUUAAUAAAAUAGCAGCAUCAACCGACAACCAUUAUGGAUUGUUACAGUAGAAAAACAAGCUCAACUACAAGAGAAAAACCAUCCAUGGAAACGAAAAGGUGAGACAUCCAUGGAAUAUUUCGCAUCCAAAAGCAUAAUAUAGGCUACUUGUUCGUCAUUUUCUCCCUGACACUUUUCAUAUGGAGGAGCAUUUUAUCAUAGUCGGGAAUGUUUUCUUUAAUCAGAGGAACUUCAAUGAAAUUCUGGGCCCAAGCAUGCAAUCGAGGCAGUGUGCUUGGUUCAAGAACUUUCACACCCGCUGCUUCUUCAAUGGCUGCAAACCAAUAAGCGAAGAGUCCAUAUGAGAUGUCAACUAGAUUUAUGCUGUCACCGCCAAAAAACUUCUUGUCCCCGAGACCUUUCUCUUCUAAGACUCUCAACACUUCCGCCACUUCUUUCACUGCCUUCUCUAGCUCCUCUCCACUAGCUCGGAAAAGGGCACCAAAGGCAGCACCCUAAAUAAUGAAAGAAUUCAAUUUACAAGUCACAGAACAGAGAUAAAUGAAUCGAUAUUUGAAGGUGUUUAGCCUGAGGAGAAUAAAAAUAAAAGAAGGCAAGUUAUGAGAAAUUUUUAAUUAUUUUUCCACUUUAAGAACAAGAAGAAGAAAAUGUUUUCUGGAAUCGAUUGUCUUUUUCCAGGACUGCUACCAGAUCAAAUUAAUCAUUGUGGGCCUCAUGAACAGUUACAAAAUAUAUACAAGAAGAUGGAUCUCGUUACCUUGGUAACUCCAUAUUGAAUCCAAAACCGAGCCAUGGCUCUCUCGUAAGGAUCUGUCGGUAGCAGUGGAUUCUCCGGCCAUGUUUCCUCGAUGUAUUCAAGGAUAACAAGAGACUCCGCAAUCGGCUUGCCACCAUGGACGAGUACAGGGAUUUUCUUGUAAACUGGGUUAUACUUCAAUAGCAGUUCACUUUUAUUGGUGAGGUCUUCUUCAAUAUACUCAAACUCCACGCCCUUUAGUUUCAGAGCCCAUAUAACUCUGUAACUAAAAGGGCUAGCCCAGAAACCAUGCAGCUUCACAUCUGCCAUCGUUGCAAUGAGAUCAGUAUGCAAGGUCUGCUGCUGUGCCCAGUCUUCUUAUAGCGACUUUUGGCUUGGGCAAUAAGUUUUGGAUGCAAGAAACAUUUUUUUAUAUUGCAAGUAUGGACUUGACUUGGUCCAUAACUUUGACUCCGAUUUUUUUUUUAUUUAACUUGGACAUCGUAAUUUGCAAGUAAUCCAUACGAUGAACUUGUUUUUUUUUUUUAUUGGUCACUGUGUGCAGUUUAUUACUUUAUUUUCCUUGAAGAAACACUGGCUACCCUGUAAGUUACAUUCUUUGAACGUGUUCAUGCCUUGCCUUUGGAUUAUAUCAUGUUUAUUUCUGUGUUUUAAAAGUAUUUUAAUAAAAAAUUAAAUUUUUUUUAUUUUUUUAUUAAUUUUAAAUUAAUAUGUUUUCAGUGUUUUUAAAUUAUUUUGAUGUACUGAUAUCAAAAAUAAUUUUUAAAAAAUCAAAAAAAUCAUUAACAUAUAUUUUGGCUUGAAAAACAACUACAACCACACUCGGUAUUGAACUUUGAAGAGGACCUAUUUGUUUCUGUGUUUUAAAAGCGUUUUUGAAAAAAUUUGAAUUUUUUUUAUUUUUUUAUUAACUUCAAAUUAAUAUGUUUUUAGUGUUUUCAAAUCAUGUUGAUGUGCUGAUGUCAAAAAUGAUUUUUAAAAAAUAAAAAAAAUCAUUAACAUGUAUUUUAAUACGAAAAAUUAUUUAAAAAACAACUGCAACCAUAUUGUCAAACAAGCUCGAAACCUCAGUGCCCAUCUCCAAGACCUGACAUGCCUACUAAUAUCACGAUGUUAUUGAAUUAAGAAAAGCAGAAAUAAACUAUCCCUGAUUCGACAACCUUUUUCUUUUGUUAAUCUCUGCCAAAUAAUCCUUCGACUAUCUGAAUUCAUCACUAAUUAACUACAAACUAAAAGUAUCAACUUUUUAAUAUUGAUGGUUGUAAUUUAACUUGUAAAAUUUUGGAUUUAUUUUUUUAAAGUUUAUUGUUAUAAAUUUUGAGAUUACUAGAAAUUUAUCUUAUUAAUUUUAGAGUCUCUUGAGAUUAGUUGAGACGCUCGUGGAAUAUGUUUGACAGUGUGAUAACGAUUGCUUUUCAAAUAAUUUUUCGUGCCAAAAUACAUGUCAAUGAUUUUUUUUAUUUUUAAAAAAUUCUUUUUUAUAUCAGCACAUCAAAACAAUCCAAAAUAUACAAAUCAUAUUAAAUUUUAGCAAAAAAAAAUUUAAUUUUUUAAACUGACUCAAAUACUCACGAUUAACAAUAUAUAUAUAUAUAUAUAUCAUCUUUCUAAUAUGCUGAAAUUAUUUUGCACUUCUUUAUAUUUAUUGGAAUUGAAGAAGUGUAUUUUUAAAUAUUACAUUUAUUUUAAUUUUCCCAUGUUUUUUAGAUAUUAGAUGACCAAUCUUUUAAAUUUAAAGACAAUAAGGCACCUAACUUUAUUUUUCUCUUUUCUAGUUGUUUUCUAUUGAGAGGAGGAGAGAGAAAGAGCUGUCGAAUUCUAGCUUAGAUAGAGAAAGUUGUCGCCGUGAAAGAUUCUAAUAACCAAAACGAUUGAUUUUUAGGUCAAAAUAUUUCAUAUAAUGAAAGGGUUAUGUUUAGGUGUUUGUUUACCUUGAAAAAUUCUCAAACAACAAAUUUAAGCUCAUGAAGAAUUUUAUUUUCUUGUGUUUUUAGGUUUUGUGGUGGUUUACUGGGUUUCUGGAGAUCAUGAAUUGGUUUAAUAAGAUUUCUAGAUUGUUUUCAAUAUGUUUUGAGUCAAAUAAAGUUGAAAAGGAGAUUUUGGAUGGAAAAAAAAAUAGGACCUCGUUUUUCUAGCUACCAUAGUGGCCGGACUAUAUGUUUCACAGGUGACACGUCUUUAUAUAUAUAUAAUUGGAGCGAACAACACGUUGUUUGCCUAGUUAAACUUUUUUUAAAAAAUAAAAGCCUGUGUGUGGGCCGUUGCUUUAUUAGGCCAUACACUAGGCCUGACCUUGUUCUUUUUUAAAAGAAAAUUUAGUUUUUUAAAAAAUAAUAAAUUAUUUGUGUAUAUUUUUUCAAAUAAAUUUUGGGUUUAUGUUUUAAAAAGAUUGUGACUAUUUUAAAAUGAUAUUGGGCGUGCUUAAUUUUUAGAGAGAUGAGUAUGAUUCAUCCAUGAUUUUUUCUUAAUUUUAUAUAAAUUAAUUUUUUUUUUAAUAUGAUUUUUUUAUAAGAUUUUUUUGUAUAUGUAGCCUUGCAUUGUUUUUUUAAUUAUUAUUCAGUAAAAUUUAUGUGUGUGUCGAUUUCUAUUAUAAAAUUUAUGUGUUUUUCUUUUACAAAUUUAUUUUGAUAAAGGAAUUCAUUAAAUAUAAUCAAGUAAAUUACUCUUAUUGCAAUGUUGGAUAUCUUGAUUUUUAUUUUUAGCUUGGUUUUCUCAAUUUUAUUUUUGUCAAUUGUUAAUGAUUUUUUUUCAUUGCUUUACAUAAUAGUUACUGGAUUGUUUAAUUUGAUGUAUGCUUAGGUUUUUUGAUUUACACCUAGGAGUUUUUUUAGUAUAAAAAAAACGUUGAAGAACUCUGUAUAAAUUUUAUUUAUGUUUUGAUGUUCAAGAUUUGAUGUUUAUUCUUAUGAUUUUUAAUUUUUUUUUCUUUGAAUUUUUUAUGGAAGUUUGUUGUUUUUAGUUUCAUUAUUCAAUCCAAUUUGAUAAUAUAUUAUUUUUUUAUGUUUUUUUUUUAUGUUUUUACUUUUGAUUUUUGUUCUUUUAUUAAUGUUUUUAUUCUCUUCAAUUUAACUCUCAAAACUAAAAUCCAUUGUUGCCUUUUGAUUUAUUUUUAUUGUAAUUUUAAAACUUAAUGUUUUUAUUUUGGAUUUUUUGUGUUUUUUUUUUUGUGAUUUUAACUCUCAUGAUUUUUUCAUAUAUAGUUUUUUAGGUUUUAUAACCCUGGUCAUAGUUUAAAAAGUUAGCAGUAAUUAACUUUUUUUUAUCUUAUUUGUUUAUAUUCAUAUAUUUUUUUUAUUUCUAUGAAAUUAUCAUAUUCUCAUUUAAUUUUUAUUUUGUUAACAAAUAAAAUCAUUGAGAUGUUUUUGAAAUAUUGUGAAGAUGUAUUUUCAUAAUAUUGAUAAUUGUUUAUCUUUUGUAUUGAAUCGUUAUUUUUUUUAUUUUAUUUGUUGUCGAUAUCUUAUUUUUUAAGAAUAUUAUUAAAUUAAAAAAAUUUAUUAAACUUACUCAAGCCAAUUACUUAAAUAUUAUAUUUGUUUUUGUUUUUGUUUAUUUUAUUUUUUUCAUAUUUUUUACGCCAAAACAAAAUUGACUGCGGCUUUAGUUUUGGUGUCCAGAUAACCCGCUGGCUGAAUGGGCUUGGACUCAACCCGAAAAACUUCACAUCUACCAUACUGAUUACUGAACUGUGACUCGUGUUCAGCAAAGGAGGGUUUUAUAUUAUUCAUUGCCGACUUUUCUUUUCCUUUUCUCUUUUUAUUGCAGACUUCUCUUCUUGGCUGUCCGAAUAAAUGGAAAAUUAGAAGAGGAACAGUCAAAGUUGGAAAGGAGGGUUUUUUUCUGCCCCCUCUUAUCCAUGGCCGCCUCUGUUCAAGCUGAGAUUGCCCUUGGAAAUCCUUAACUAAGAUGCACAAAUUGGAAAUCUCAAUUCCAAGCUCUACGCACUGGUCUUUCCAACAGACAAGGAGAAAUUGAAAAUCAAAUAACAAAGAUCACAAGUUUUAUGGAUCACCAAAAUGAUCUAACAUCACUGGAUAUUCUAAGCUUGCAGUCUGAUUAAAAUUUAUUGACUCAGGUCUUGCUCAGAUAACCCUGGUUAGGAGAAAAAUCCAUCCAGCGUUCUCUUGGUCCAUUCAUGGAUAACACAUUGAUCUAGACUUCCAGAGAUCAUGGCCUCCAUCGAUGAGUCUAAGAGAAACACCUGCCUUGAGCGAGCUCUUAUUAAAUUAAAUAAUUACUAUAAUGUCAAGCAAGCUCUUAUUAUUAUUUUUUAAUAAAUACUUAAAACGAGUUCUGGGCUUUUAAAAAAACUUGGUCUCUGCUGAUGUGGUUAGUUCAUGAUCGAUGAAUCAUUAGGUUGACUUCCCGAGCUGUUCUGAUAAAAUUGAUUAAGGACAAAAAAGUAAAUGGAGAUGAAUAUAAAAGAAAUACAACAUUGUAGCUGCAUCAACCAUUAUGGAGUCUUACAGUAGAAAAACAAGCUCAACUACAAGAGAAAAACCAUCCAUGGAAACGAAAAGGUGAGACAUACAUGGAAUAUUUCGCAUCCAAAAGCAUAAUAUAGGUUACUUGUGUUAGCAUUAUGGAGACAAGCAAGCCCCACCAUGUGCAAGUGGAAUUCUAGUCUCCCACUUAGCACAUGGUGGAGGACACCCCCCACUCCCACAUUUGUAUAUCUAUGUGUGUGCUGUGUAUUGUAGCUUGUGAACUGAAGCUGCGAGAGAAACACAGAGAGAGUUGUGUGAAACACAGAGAGAAGAGAGAGCUUGAGUGUAGAGUUGAGUUGAGAACAUUCUCCUCCUCUUGUUGUUGUAUUAUUUCUUUGUAAGCUUGAUUAAUACAACUAGUAGCUCCGUGGAGUAGGCAAGUUGCCGAACCACGUAAAUUAUGCGUGUUUGAGUUUUGGAUAUAACCCAACAACUAGUAUCAGAGCUUGUUCUUGACAAAGAGGGUGUUUGAUCCAAACUCAAAAAUCAAAGUUCUCAAAACGUGUUUUUGAACAUACCAUCGUGUAGAGGACAACCGGACGAAUCCACUGUUGAAAACCCGGCGAAGAACCGACGUCCUGCAUGCCCGCACGCGCCAACACGCGCCGACGCUAGCACUGCCCACGCGCACCAAAGCGCCGUACGCGCGCCACGUUCCUUCUUCGCCCGGUUUCUGCAAAACGGGUCGGGUCUGACCCGCCACGUCAGCAAAGUCAGACGGUCAGCGUCCACGUCAUCUGCCACGUCAUCUACCACGUCAUCCUAUCUGGGGUUUGAUCCAGUGCACCGCAGACGGUAAUCGUCUGACACGUGGCUACAUCAUCACCGUUGUGGGGUUUUAAUCUGGUGUGACGCAGGAACUAAUCAUCUGACACGUGGCUGAAUCAAGACCGUUUCUGAGUUUUGAUCUGGUGCGACUCAGGCUCUAAUCUUGUGACACGUGGCUGAAUCUACACCGUUACUGAGUUCUGAUCAGGUGUGACGCAGGCUCUAAUCUGCGGACACGUGGCUUAAUCUGCACCGUUAGUGAGUUUUGAUCCGGUGUGACGCAGGCUGUAAUCUACUGACACGUGUCUUCAUCAGAACCGUUAUUGAGUUUUUAUCCGGUGUGACGCAGGCGGUACUCUGUCUGACACGCGGCUGCAUCUGAACCGUCCGUUAAUCCAAAACUUUGAUUGCUAAAAUCUGAGCCAUCCGAAGUCCGAUUGGGGUGAUCUCAGUGUCAUUUCCAAGGUUUUUGGCCGUUCGGACACAUCUGUAAGGUCAGAUUUGGAAAUUCGAAUCGGAGAAUAGUAAAAAUGGCAGAUGAAAUAAAGGCUGCUGGAAUUGAAAAAUUUGACGGAACAGAUUUUGGAUACUGGAAAAUGCAAAUUGAGAUUAUUUAUAUGGGAAGAAACUUCAUCUUCCCUUAUUGGGAAGCAAACCAGAAAAGAUGGAAGAAGAAGAAUGGCAACUUCUUGAUAGACAAGUUCUGGGCAUUAUCCGGCUAUCGUUAUCAAGAAGAGUUGCUCACAAUGUUACGAAAGAAAAAUCCACUGCAAAAUUGAUGGAAGCCUUGUCUGGGAUGUAUGAGAAGCCAUCAGCAAAUAAUAAAGUGCACCUGAUGAAAAAGUUGUUCAACUUGAAGAUGGUCGAAAACGCUUCUGUGACACAACACCUCAACAACUUUAAUACCAUCACAAAUCAAUUAUCAUCUGUUGCGAUUGAGUUUGAUGAUGAGAUUCGUGCACUCAUCUUGCUAGCUUCACUUCCAAGCAGUUGGGAAGGCAUGAGGACAGCCGUGAGCAAUUCAGCUGGAAAAUCCAAACUGAAGUAUGAUGACAUUCGAGACUUGAUUUUGGCUGAAGAAGUGCGAAGGAAAGACUCGGGUGAAAGUUCAAGCUCAGGAUCAGCUCUCAACAUCAACACUCGAGGGAGGAGACACGAUAGAGGCUCAUCCAGAGGCAGAUCAAAAUCCAGAUACAGAAGUAAAAGCAAGUUUGGAUCCAGAAAGCAGGUUGAAUGUUGGAAUUGUGGCAAACCUGGUCAUUUCAGUAGGAAUUGCACAAAACCGAAGAAACCUGAAGCUGACUCUGCAAACGCUACCACAGAUGAGGUACAAGAUGCUUUAAUUCUUGCUGCAAAGUCAAAUUGAUGAGUGGAUUCUUGAUUCUGGUGCUUCAUUCCACUGUACGCCACACAAUGAAAUGCUGCAAAAUUAUGUUGGAGGAGAUCAUGGUGUAGUCUAUCUGGCCGAUGGAACACCACUGAAUAUUGUGGGUAUAGGAGAUGUGCAAAUCAAGACAAUGAAUGGAUCUAUAUGGACCUUGCAGAAUGUAAGGCAUGUUCCUGAAUUAAAGAAGAAGUUGAUCUCUGUCGGACAACUUGAUGAUAGUGGUCAUUCAAUACUUUUUGCUGGAGGAAUGUGGAAAGUAUCAAAGGGAGCAAUGGUUUUAGCUCGUGGAAAGAAAACCGGCACCCUGUAUAUGACCACAAGAUUUGCAGACAUCAUUGCCUCAACUGAAGCAGAAAAUCAAGCACAUCUAUGGCAUUGUAGACUUGGCCAUAUGAGUCAAAAGGGGAUGAAGAUACUUCAGUCGAAGGGAAAGCUGCCAGAGUUAAAAAAUGUCGAUCUAGACAUUUGUGAAAGCUGUGUUCUUGGAAAACAGAAGAAGGUCAGUUUCUUGAAGGUUGGCAGGACCUUAAGACCAAGCAAGCUAGAACUGGUACACACAGAUUUAUGGGGACCGUCUCCAGUAGCAUCUCUUGGAGGUUCUCGGUAUUAUGUGACUUUUAUUGAUGAUUUCAGCAGGAAGGUAUGGGUUUACUUUCUGAAAAAUAAAUCUGAUGUGUUUGAAACAUUCAAGAAAUGGAAGGCUAUGGUUGAGACUGAAUCAGGUCUAAAGUUGAAAUGCUUGAGAUCUGAUAAUGGAGGAGAAUACAUUGAUGGAGGUUUCAAGGAGUAUUGUGCUGUCAAUGGUAUCAGAAUGGAAAAGACCGUUCCAGGCACACCGCAACAGAAUGGCGUUGCUGAACGGAUGAACAGGACCAUCAAUGAACGAGCUAGAAGCAUGAGGUUGCAUUCUGGGUUACCUCAAACAUUCUGGGCUGACGCAGUUCAUACCGCAGUUUACUUGAUCAACCGUGGACCAUCAGUUCCUUUGGAAUUCAGACUGCCCGAGGAAGUAUGGAGAGGAAAAGAGGUACAACUCUCUCAUUUGAAGGUCUUUGGGUGUGUUUCCUAUGUUCACAUAGAUUCUGAUGCUCGCAACAAGUUAGAGCCAAAUCCAAGAAAUGUUUCUUCAUUGGCUAUGGAGAUGAAGAAUUUGGAUUUCGGUUCUGGGAUGAUCAGAAUAGAAAGAUUAUCAGAAGCAGGAACGUGAUCUUCAAUGAGAAAGUUAUGUACAAAGACAGAUCAAGUGGAGAAACAGAGAUGGCUGAUUCAGAUACAAGUCCACAAAGAUCUGAAUUCAUAAGAUUAGAAGGGCUUCCCGAUGUUACUAAGCAGAACAACAAUCAAGAGUCUUUACAAGAAGAUUCAAGCACAUUUGUGCCCACUUCCACACAAGAAGAUGCGGAGCAACUUGAACCAGCUGUUCGCAGGUCUUCGAGGACGAUAAAGCCCCCGCAACGGUUCACACUUUUACUGAAUUAUAUUUUGCUGACAGAUGGUGGUGAACCGUUAUCUUAUGAAGAAUCCUUACAAGAUGGAAACUCAAGCAAGUGGGAGUUAGCCAUGAAGGAUGAGAUGAGUUCGUUGCUGAAGAACAAGACUUGGGAGCUAACAACAUUACCUGAAGGAAAGAAGGCCUUGCAAAAUAAGUGGGUCUACAGAGUGAAGACUGAGCAUGACGGAAGCAAACGGUUCAAGGCAAGACUUGUUGUCAAAGGGUUUCAACAGAAGAAAGGCAUUGACUACUCUGAGAUUUUUUCUCCAGUUGUGAAGCUCACAACAAUCAGAGUUGUUCUGGGGAUAGUAGCUGCAGAAAAUUUACAUCUUGAACAGUUAGAUGUAAAAACAGCAUUCCUUCAUGGUGACUUGGAGGAAGAUAUUUACAUGCAACAGCCAGAGGGGUUUGCAAUGCAAGGAAAGGAGAAUCAAGUCUGCAAGCUACAGAAAAGCCUAUACGGUUUGAAGCAAGCUCCAAGACAGUGGUACAAGAAGUUUGACAACUUCAUGUGCAGUUCCGGGUAUACAAGAUGCCAAGCUGAUCAUUGUUGCUAUGUCAAACAUUUUGACAACUCCUACAUCAUUCUACUAUUAUAUGUAGAUGAUAUGUUGAUUGCAGGAUCCAGCAUUGAGGAGAUUGAUAAGCUGAAACAGCAGUUGUCGAAACAGUUUGAAAUGAAGGAUCUGGGAGCUGCUAAACAAAUACUUGGCAUGAGAAUCAUCAGAGAUAAAGACAAAGGCAUACUAAAGCUCUCACAAACAGAGUAUGUCAAGAAGGUUCUCAGCAGGUUUAGUAUGGAUAAUGCUAAACCAGUAAGUACACCACUGGGGAAUCAUUUCAAGCUCAGCAAAGAUCAGUCACCAAAAACUGAGCUAGAAAGUGGAUACAUGGAUAAGAUUCCAUACGCCUCAGCUAUCGGCUCUUUGAUGUAUGCUAUGGUCUGUACCAGACCAGACAUUGCCCAUGCAGUGGGAGUUGUAAGCCGAUAUAUGAGCAAUCCUGGAAAGCAGCAUUGGGAGGCGGUGAAAUGGAUCAUGAGGUACUUAAAAGGUUCAUCGGAAACUUGUCUCAGUUUCACAGCUGGUGGUUUGAAACUUGAAGGUUUUGUAGAUGCUGAUCUAGCAGGAGAUGUUGAUAGCAGAAAGAGCACUACAGGAUAUGUUUAUACUCUAGGAGGUACUGCUGUUUCCUGGAGUUCUACCUUGCAAAAGAUCGUUGCUCUUUCAACAACAGAAGCUGAAUAUGUUGCAGUCUCAGAAUCUGCAAAAGAGAUAGUAUGGUUGCAGAGUUUCUUGAAAGAAUUGGGCAAGUUGAAUGGGAAAGGUACUUUGUAUAGCGACAGUCAGAGUGCAAUCUUCCUUGCCAAGAAUCCAGCAUUUCACUCCAGGACGAAGCAUAUUCAGAUCAAAUAUCACUUCAUCCGACAACUGCUGGACGACGAGCAACUAAUGCUAGAAAAGAUCUGUGGAAGCAAGAAUCCAGCUGACAUGUUAACCAAAGGAGUUACACUUGAGAAACUGAAGUUGUGCAAAACUUCAGUUGGUCUUCAAGGAUAAAAAAAGGGAUUUCAUUGUUUGUCUCCAAGUGGGAGAUUGUUAGCAUUAUGGAGACAAGCAAGCCCCACCAUGUGCAAGUGGAAUUCUAGUCUCCCACUUAGCACAUGGUGGAGGACACCCCCCACUCCCACAUUUGUAUAUCUAUGUGUGUGCUGUGUAUUGUAGCUUGUGAACUGAAGCUGCGAGAGAAACACAGAGAGAGUUGUGUGAAACACAGAGAGAAGAGAGAGCUUGAGUGUAGAGUUGAGAUGAGAACAUUCUCCUCCUCUUGUUGUUGUAUUAUUUCUUUGUAAGCUUGAUUAAUACAACUAGUAGCUCCGUGGAGUAGGCAAGUUGCCGAACCACGUAAAUUGUGCGUGUUUGAGUUCUGGAUAUAACCCAACAACUUGUUCAUCAUUUUCUCCCUGACACUUUUCAAAUAGAGGAGCAUCUUAUCAUUGUCAGGAAUGUUUUCUUUAAUCAGAGGAACUUCAAUGAAAUUCUGGGCCCAAGCAUGCAAUCGAGGCAGUGUGCUUGGUUCCAGAACUUUCACACCCGCUAUAUCUUCAAUGGCUGCAAGCCAAUAAGCGAAGAGUCCAUAUGAGAUGUCAACUAGAUUUAUGCUGUCACCGCCAAAAAACUUCUUGUCCCCGAGACCUUGCUCUUCUAAGACUCUCAACCCUUCCGCCACUUCUUUCACUGCCUUCUCUAGCUCCUCUCCACUAGCUCGGAAAAGGGGAACUAAGGCAGCACUCUAAAUAAUGAAAGAAUUCAAUUUACUUGUCACAGAACAGAGAUAAAUGAAUAGAUAUUUGAAGGUGUUUAGCCUGAGGAGAGUAAAAAUAAAAGAAGGCAAGUUGUGAGAAAUUUUUAAUUAUUAUUCCACUGUAAGAACAAGAAGAAGAAAAUGUUUUUUGGAAUCGAUUGUUUUUUUCCAGGACUGCUACCAGAUCAAAUUAAAAAUUGUGGGCCUCAUGAACAGUUACAAAAUAUAUACAAGAAGAUGGAUCUCGUUACCUUGGUAACUCCAUAUUGAAUCCAAAACCGAGCCAGGGCUCUCUCGUAAGGAUCUGUCGGUAGCAGUGGAUUCUCCGGCCAUGUUUGCUCGAUGUAUUCAAGGAUAACAAGAGACUCCGCAAUCGGCUUGCCACCAUGGACGAGCACAGGGAUUUUCUUGUAAACUGGGUUAUACUUCAAUAGCAGUUCACUUUUAUUGGUGAGGUCUUCUUCAAUAUACUCAAACUCCACGCCCUUUAGUUUCAGAGCCCAUAUAACUCUGUAACUAAAAGCGCUAGCCCAGAAACCAUGCAGCUUCACAUCUGCCAUCGUUGCAAUGAGAUCAGUAUGCAAGGUCUACUGCUGUGCC
rnacentral:lncRNA from 1 species